GCCGGAGAUUCCCUCUCUCCAGCGCUGUUUUCAGGCCCCCGGAGCAGCGCCGGAGGAGCCCGGGCGGGCGGCGGCGUUGUCCCGGCCUGCCCGUCCCCUUCCCGGGCCUUUGGUUUGCCAGCGGCGCCUGGCGGUUACACGUUAGGGUAGUUGGUGAACGCAGGGGAGGUCUCUGGCAGCUCCUCCGUCUUCUGUGAAUCCUUGAGGAUGCUUUGCCCAGCCGAGCCCUCUCUCCUCCCUCCGGCCGGACCCCAGAUCCCCCCCGCACCCCUCCGGCAGCUCCGGGAAGCUGGAGCGCGUGGCACCGGUCACGCACGCCCGUGUCUUUGCCCUCCUGCCUGAAACUGCCCAGAGAGAGAAGCAGGAACGCCAUGCCCAGGAAAUACACCCUCAAGCGGAGCUCGCCCAGCUGCGAGUUGGCCAGCGUGGCCCAUCUAAACCAGUUCGCAGGCCACUGGAAGGGCUCUACCAUGGGGAACUCCGACACGGACCAGAAGGCAU